CUUAGAGCCCAAAAGGACGCAGAAUUGGCUUAUUUUCUCCUGAACCGGGAUUCCUGUUUCAAUCUUGUAACAGCAGCUCUGUUCGUGCUCUGCAUCAGAAAACACUGGCUGAGGUUAAACUGGAGACACGAAGCUGCUGCCGGUCUCUUCACUUGCUGGUCUUUGUCAGCCUUCCCACCAUGUGUGAUAACUGCCCCUUCCCUAAUGUGCUGCAACCGUGUCCAAUUGUCUCCCCUGUGUCUGUGUAUAUAUAUUAGGGGUGACCCCGAAUAGUUGAAUAUUCGACUAUUCGAUGCUUCGAUCGAAGGAGCCUAAUUCGACUGCCAAUCUCCCAGUCAAAUCUUCGCAGAGGCAUUAUGAAAAGCACAAUGUCAGAUUUUAGAUAUUUACUACCCGUUUUCUCCCAGUAAGUUAAGCCUAUUAUAUGAAUAUCAAAA